rnacentral:rRNA from 1 species
CAAAGAAGGUAAUAAUCCUGUAGUCGAAAAUGUUGUCUCUCUUGAGUGGAUCCUGAGUACGACGGAGCACGUGAAAUUCCGUCGGAAUCUGGGAGGACCAUCUCCUAAGGCUAAAUACUCUCUAGUGACCGAUAGUGAACCAGUACCGUGAGGGAAAGGUGAAAAGCACCCCGGAAGGGGAGUGAAAUAGAACCUGAAACCGUGUGCUUACAAGUAGUCAGAGCCCGUUAAUGGGUGAUGGCGUGCCUUUUGUAGAAUGAACCGGCGAGUUACGAUUUGAUGCAAGGUUAAGCAGUAAAUGUGGAGCCGUAGCGAAAGCGAGUCUGAAUAGGGCGUUUAGUAUUUGGUCGUAGACCCGAAACCAGGUGAUCUACCCUUGGUCAGGUUGAAGUUCAGGUAACACUGAAUGGAGGACCGAACCGACUUACGUUGAAAAGUGAGCGGAUGAACUGAGGGUAGCGGAGAAAUUCCAAUCGAACCUGGAGAUAGCUGGUUCUCUCCGAAAUAGCUUUAGGGCUAGCCUCAAGUGAUGAUUAUUGGAGGUAGAGCACUGUUUGGACGAGGGGCCCCUCUCGGGUUACCGAAUUCAGACAAACUCCGAAUGCCAAUUAAUUUAACUUGGGAGUCAGAACAUGGGUGAUAAGGUCCGUGUUCGAAAGGGAAACAGCCCAGACCACCAGCUAAGGUCCCAAAAUAUAUGUUAAGUGGAAAAGGAUGUGGCGUUGCCCAGACAACUAGGAUGUUGGCUUAGAAGCAGCCAUCAUUUAAAGAGUGCGUAAUAGCUCACUAGUCGAGUGACACUGCGCCGAAAAUGUACCGGGGCUAAACAUAUUACCGAAGCUGUGGAUUGUCCUUUGGACAAUGGUAGGAGAGCGUUCUAAGGGCGUUGAAGCAUGAUCGUAAGGACAUGUGGAGCGCUUAGAAGUGAGAAUGCCGGUGUGAGUAGCGAAAGACGGGUGAGAAUCCCGUCCACCGAUUGACUAAGGUUUCCAGAGGAAGGCUCGUCCGCUCUGGGUUAGUCGGGUCCUAAGCUGAGGCCGACAGGCGUAGGCGAUGGAUAACAGGUUGAUAUUCCUGUACCACCUAUA